UUUAGGAACUAUAAAGAGGAAAACAUUGGCUCUGCUUUUCUUUUUCUCUGAUUUCUAGAUUAGUUCAGAUACCUUCUUGAUUAAGGUCUGUUAUUCUUGUUUGUCUUUUAUUUUGCAGCUCCUUAUAAGUAAGCUGGCUCACAAAAUAACAUCUGAGCUGUCACGCCAAACAGACAACAUACCACUAGAGCAAUCCUUGAUUUUUGGUUUGGCUGUUACUGGUGCACGAUUCUUUGCAAUUCUUUUGUCAUUUUGGUCAACUGUAUCUGAAACAUGAAAUCUGAUAUUUGAUGAGAACUUCAUCAGACACAAUACCAUGUCACUAGCUGCCUUAGAGUUUAUUACACAUAGUUUCGGAGUAACAUAUCAAUAGUGAAAUAUAGGGUGUCUUUUCUUCUUUCAGGAUCUCUCUGUCUUUUCUUCUUUUUUGGAUCUUUUUUUCAACAGAGAAAUACGCACUGUUUUAGUUUAGAAACUCGGGAUGGUACUUGGUUUAGGAGCUAGAUUUGUUGCACGUGACAUGCUCCUACCACACUUUCCUCCAGUGUCCUCCUGCCUUUAGCUGUUGAACCAAAGCAUUGGGGUAUCUUAUUUUCUAAAGUACCUUAUUGAUUAAUCUAGCGCUUUAUUCAUCACUUUUAUAUUAACAUCCUGCAGCUCAUUUGGUUGUCUGAAAACAUGAUCUAAUGAAUUUCAUGCUUUUUUGGGGUUUAACUGAAUAGAGGGUGAGUCCUCAGCAACGGGAACCAUUUUACUCCUGAUUAGAGUGGAAAAAAUUGGAGAGCUCUUGCCCCGAAUAGACAAACAUAUCACCACAUAAAUGCUCCCUCUUUUGUUCUGGUGUAAACCUUUCUGCCACUAGUAAAUGAUAUACUAGUUUCAGUUAUCAUUGUCGACUUCCUUGACCCCUAUAUGAACCUUUUAAGAGAACAAUGAUUUAUCUUGUCGAAUGAAAAACAUUUUUACUACUUGGUCAAAAUAAUGGAAUGCAAUACUCCAGCAA